rnacentral:lncRNA from 1 species
CUGUAGGUAGUCUUCCAUGAGCAGCUAGCCAGACUGUAAAUUUGUACCUUGGUUGAGCUUGGCAAAUAGUACCAGAUUCCUCCAAGCAGCCUUACUAUAGAGUAGGAGUUAGUGCCAGGUAUAGCUUGUGGAUAAGGAAUUUAUCCAGGCUACAGAAUGUUUGCAAUCUAGUGAAAAGGUUGCCUUGGCUCACUUGAACUCCCAUGAGAUCUUCCCUUCUAUCUAGUAUCUUCUUUACCACCCAAGAAGCUGUCUUGGGUGAGGGCAUUGUUUCUAAGUCCCUUUGCUUGAUGUAGUAACUGUGCGCCGAUCUAAUCCACAAGCAAUCCUUUUUGUUAGCCAAAUUCCAGAGGUGUUUGCUGAUGACUGCCUUAUUCCAAAUUGCCAUGUCUAUAAUGUUUAGACCUCCUGCAGAGAGGGGUCUGCAAACACUGUCCCAAGCCACUAA